GACGGAGGGUGCUAGCGUUGUUCGGAAUUACUGGGCGUAAAGGGCGCGUAGGCGGCCUGAUCAGUCGGGUGUGAAAGCCCGGGGCUCAACCCCGGAACGGCACCCGAGACGGUCAGGCUGGAGACCGGGAGAGGAGGGUAGAAUAGCCAGUGUAGAGGUGAAAUUCGUAGAUAUUGGCUGGAACACCGGUGGCGAAAGCGGCUCUCUGGCCCGGUUCUGACGCUGAGGCGCGAAAGCGUGGGGAGCAAACAGG
rnacentral:rRNA from 1 species